AGAGUCCUAAGUCACAAACUCGCGUAACCAACCGCUUCGCAUUUUAAACUGCCUCCCUCCCGUGUCCCGCAUUAUUUUAUAUGUAUAAUCUAAUCUGAUUUUUGUUGUUGAAAAAUUUCGAAUUUUAAUUUCAAUUCUCAAAGCGAAGCAAUUCAANNNNNNNGAUUUGAAUUCCUUCUAUUCGUUUCCUUCCCUAAAUCCACUUUGUCUCUCUCUAAAAUUCUGG
rnacentral:misc_RNA from 1 species